rnacentral:rRNA from 1 species
CAGCAGCCACGGGAACACAGAGGGUGCAAGCGUUAAUCGGAAUUAAUGGGCGUAAAGCGCGCGUAGGUGGUUUGUUAAGUUGGAUGUGAAAGCCCCGGGCUCAACCUGGGAACUGCAUCCAAAACUGGCAAGCUAGAGUACGGUAGAGGGUGGUGGAAUUUCCUGUGUAGCGGUGAAAUGCGUAGAUAUAGGAAGGAACACCAGUGGCGAAGGCGACCACCUGGACUGAUACUGACACUGAGGUGCGAAAGCGUGGGGAGCAAACAGGAUUAGAUACCCCGGUAGUCCCUGUCUCUUAUAC